UCUAAAACGAGGUCAGACAGAUAAAGACCAAAGGAGGUAAAUGGAGACUCUGGACAUGAGGAGAGGACAGAGGAGCUCGUUUCACACCAGGGUCACAGGGGUUUCUGGAGUCUGUCCCAGCUGGCAUCAGGACUCCAACGAUGAAACCAAGAACAAGGAGGAAACAAAUACAGACACCAAGAAUGAUCCAGUGGUUUCUCUUCUCUACAGGACCUGAAAGAAAUUAAACUCUUGAAUUAGAGGAAUAAACUCAAAUGGGAUUUAAU